GACGAACGCUGGCGGCGUGCUUAACACAUGCAAGUCGAACGGAAAGGCCCUGCUUUUGUGGGGUGCUCGAGUGGCGAACGGGUGAGUAACACGUGAGUAACCUGCCCUUGACUUUGGGAUAACUUCAGGAAACUGGGGCUAAUACCGGAUAGGAGCUCCUGCCGCAUGGUGGGGGUUGGAAAGUUUCGGCGGUUGGGGAUGGACUCGCGGCUUAUCAGCUUGUUGGUGGGGUAGUGGCUUACCAAGGCUUUGACGGGUAGCCGGCCUGAGAAGGUGACCGGCCACAUUGGGACUGAGAUACGGCCCAGACUCCUACGGGAGGCAGCAGUGGGGAAUAUUGCACAAUGGGCGGAAGCCUGAUGCAGCAACGCCGCGUGCGGGAUGACGGCCUUCGGGUUGUAAACCGCUUUCGCCUGUGACGAAGCGUGAGUGACGGUAAUGGGUAAAGAAGCACCGGCUAACUACGUG
rnacentral:rRNA from 1 species